GACGUAGGGGGCGAGCGUUGUCCGGAUUCAUUGGGCGUAAAGAGCGCGUAGGCGGCUCAGUAAGUCAGGUGUGAAACCCCCGGGCUCAACCCGGGGACGCCACCUGAUACUGCUGUGGCUAGAGUCCGGUAGGGGAGCGUGGAAUUCCUGGUGUAGCGGUGAAAUGCGCAGAUAUCAGGAGGAACACCAAUGGCGAAGGCAGCACUCUGGGACGUGACUGACGCUGAGACGCGAAAGCGUGGGGAGCAAACAGG
rnacentral:rRNA from 1 species